GACGAGCCUCACAAACGUUAUUCGGAAUCACUGGGCUUAAAGGGUGCGUAGGCGGUGCGGAGAGUCGGGUGUGAAAUACCUCAGCUUAACUGAGGAACUGCACUCGAUACUUCCGUGCUAGAGUAAGACAGAGGUAAGUGGAACUGAGGGUGGAGCGGUGAAAUGCGUUGAUAUCCUCAGGAACACCGGUGGCGAAGGCGACUUACUGGGUCUUUACUGACGCUGAUGCACGAAAGCCAGGGUAGCAAACGGG
rnacentral:rRNA from 1 species